CCGAGUUUCUAACUCCAUACCUUUGUGAACAUACCUAUCGUUGCUUCGGCGGGUCCGUCCGGAGCUGGCAGUGCACGGCCAGCCCCGGAACCAGACGCCCGCCGAGGACCCCAAACUCUUAUUUUUAUAGUGGAUCUUCUGAGUCUUAUACAAAAUAAAUU
rnacentral:sRNA from 1 species